rnacentral:rRNA from 1 species
UACGUAGGAGGCGAGGCGUUGUCCGGAGUUACUGGGCGUAAAGGGUGCGUAGGCGGCUGCGCGCGUGGAGGGUGAAAUCUCUACGGGCUUACCCGGGAGGGGGCUUUCCAGACGGCGUGGCGUUGAGGGACGGAGAGGGGCGUGGAAUUCCGGGUGGAGCGGUGAAAUGCGUAGAGAUCCGGAGGAACACCGACGGCGUAGGCAGCGCCCUGGCCGUUUCCUGACGCUGAAGCACGAAAGCUGGGGGAGCAAACAGGAUUAGAGUACC